AGUGAACGCUGGCGGUAGGCCUAACACAUGCAAGUCGAACGGCAGCACAGGAGAGCUUGCUCUCUGGGUGGCGAGUGGCGGACGGGUGAGGAAUACAUCGGAAUCUACUCCGUCGUGGGGGAUAACGUAGGGAAACUUACGCUAAUACCGCAUACGACCUACGGGUGAAAGCAGGGGACCUUCGGGCCUUGCGCGAUUGAAUGAGCCGAUGUCGGAUUAGCUAGUUGGCGGGGUAAAGGCCCACCAAGGCGACGAUCCGUAGCUGGUCUGAGAGGAUGAGCAGCCACACUGGAACGGAGACACGGUCCAGACUCCUACGGGAGGCAGCAGUGGGGAAUGUUGGACAAUGGGCGCAAGCCUGAUCCAGCCAUACCGCGUGGGUGAAGAAGGCCUUCGGGUUGUAAAGCCCUUUUGUUGGGAAAGAAAUCCAGCUGGCUAAUACCCGGUUGGGAUGACGGUACCCAAAGAAUAAGCACCGGCUAACUUCGUGCCAGCCGCCGCCGUAA
rnacentral:rRNA from 1 species